rnacentral:tRNA from 1 species
ACUUGAAUAGCUUAUUUAGAGCGUGACACUGAAGAUGUCAAUGAGGUAUUUAUACCUUUAAGUA